rnacentral:misc_RNA from 1 species
UAGAACACCGGCGUGAAGAAAAUACCGAACGCCGUGACGCCGAUCAUGCCGGAGAACACCGCGAUGCCCAUGGCGUGACGCAUCUCGGCGCCUGCACCGACAGACGUCACCAGCGGCACCACACCCAUGAUGAAGGCGAUGGACGUCAUCAGGAUCGGCCGCAACCGCAGACGGCUGGCCUCGAUCGCCGCGGCGAUCGGAGAGCGCCCGGCGAACUCAAGUUCGCGCGCGAACUCCACGAUCAGGA